CUCAAGCUGUAGCUACUACGCAUUUCCGACUAGCCGAAGCACUACCAUUAGCGCCUGUUAGAUGGAUGAACAGCGUAAAAAUGAAAAGAAGCUGUUGAUGGGGCUUGGCGGUUCAUGGUGCCAUAGAUGGACACUCUCAGCUGAUCACUUGUUUGAAUUGCAACACUGACAAUCGUGCCACCACUGUGCUGUCUCAGUUUCUUAAAGCCACGUCUUUAUGGACUACCCUCUCGAGUCAGAUCAGAUCAGUGAGAACUUGCAGGUGGCCUUAUUCAUGAAUCUUGUGCGGGGCACUGAGCGCCAAAGUUUCAUUAAAGGGGAAUCAGUCCACAACCAGAGAAUUGAGCGUCUUUGGAGGGAUGUGUUUUUGCAUGUGUUUCAAUCCUUUUACAGCACAUUCUACUCUCUUGAGGAUUCAUAGCUUUUGGAUCCCAGUAAUGACAUCCACAAACUUUCACUUCACUCACUUUCACAUAGUUUUCUUCCUGAGAUUCAAAAAAGCCUACAGCGCUUUAGGCAGGCCUGGAACAACCAUGCUUUGUGUACAUGAAACAACUGAACACCAACUCAAAUCUGGACAGAAGGCAUGCUCUCAAAUAUGGCAAUGAACAGUGCAGCAAUCAACAAUGUGUUUGGGGGAAAUCCCUACAGACCACACAAUUUGGAGGCAGUUCUGGCACAGCAUGGAAUUUACUCUUUACCCACUACUUAUGAUGAUGAUCUUCCAGCUGUAAUUGUGGAGCAAUCUCAAAUCAGUCUCAGUCAACAGCACUAGGAGUCAAUCUCUCAUGCCACUGAUCACAUUUCUGAUUUGAAGAUCAAGUAUCUGACAUACUGUGCAGAAAUUUCAAAUGUUCAACCUAAAACUUUUCACCUGUUUUUGAAAUUUUAUGACAAAUGCAUCAUGUAAGAUGCAUGUUGGCAAAAGACAACUUGACAUGCUAUAUUUCAGCAGUGGACAUAUGAGUUGAACAAACUUAAUAGUCAAGGUUGAAACAAUCAGUUUAUUUGUUCAGUUCUACCUUUAAUGUCCCCACUCAAGAGUUGUACCUAUUGUAAACAUAGUAAAAUUAUGUAAACAUUGUACAAUUCUUGUUUGAAAUCAUUGUAAAAACACUGUAAAACAUUGCAACUCUGUAGAACAUUGCAUUGCGAACUGUGAAAGUGCUCAAUCUUUGAAGUCAGAAUACAUUACAUUUCACAUAAGAUACAUGUUCACAUAACAGUG